rnacentral:rRNA from 1 species
UCCACGCCGUAAACUAUGAUUACUCGUUGCGUGCGAUAUACAGUACGUGACUGAGCGAAAGCAUUAAGUAAUCCACCUGGGGAGUACGUUCGCAAGAAUGAAACUCAAAGGAAUUGACGGGGGCCCGCACAAGCGGAGGAACAUGUGGUUUAAUUCGAUGAUACGCGAGGAACCUUACCCGGGCUUAAAUGCAGGACGACCGGCUGAGAAAUCAGCCUUUCUUCGGACGGCUUGCAAGGUGCUGCAUGGCUGUCGUCAGCUCGUGCCGUGAGGUGUCGGGUUAAGUCCCAUAACGAGCGCAACCCCUAUCGUUAGUUGCCAGCGAGUAAUGUCGGGAACUCUAACGAGACUGCCACCGUAAGGUGUGAGGAAG